GAUGAAGAACGUAGCGAAAUGCGAUAAGUAAUGUGAAUUGCAGAAUUCAGUGAAUCAUCGAAUCUUUGAACGCACAUUGCGCCCGUCAGCAUUCUGGCGGGCAUGCCUGUUCGAGCGUCAUUACGCCCCUCAAGUCCCCUGUGGACUUGGUGUUGGGGAUCGGCGAGGCUGGUUUUCCAGCACAGCCGUCCCUUAAAUUAAUUGGCGGUCUCGCCGUGGCCCUCCUCUGCGCAGUAGUAAAACACUCGCAACAGGAGCCCGGCGCGGUCCACUGCCGUAAAACCCCCCAACUUUUUAUAGUUGACCUCGAAUCAGGUAGGACUACCCGCUGAACUUAAGCAUAUCAAUAAGCGGAGGA
rnacentral:misc_RNA from 1 species